rnacentral:rRNA from 1 species
CCUACCUGGAUCUGGGGGAUAGCCCGCCGAAAGGCGGAUUAAUACCGCAUAAGACUAUAGUGUGGCAUCACAUAGUAGUUAAAGAUUUAUUGGAUUCAGAUGGGGUUGCGUAGCAUUAGCUAGAUGGCGGGGUAACGGCCCACCAUGGCGACGAUGCUUAGGGGACCUGAGAGGGUGAUCCCCCACACUGGCACUGAGAUACGGGCCAGACUCCUACGGGAGGCAGCAGUAGGGAAUAUUGGGCAAUGGGCGAGAGCCUGACCCAGCCAUGCCGCGUGCCGGAUGAAGGCCUUCUGGGUUGUAAACGGCUUUUCUCAGGGAAGAAAAAGGUCUUGCGAGACAAACUGACGGUACCUGAGGAAUAAGCACCGGCUAACUCCGUGCCAGCAGCCGCGGUAAUACGGAGGGUGCAAGCGUUGUCCGGAUUUAUUGGGUUUAAAGGGUGCGUAGGUGGCCCGUUAAGUCCGGGGUGAAAGCCCACAGCUCAACUGUGGAACUGCCCUGGAUACUGGCGGGCUUGAGAGUCGUCGAGGGUGGCGGAACGGACGGUGUAGCGGUGAAAUGCAUAGAUACCGUCCAGA